GCUGGGCAUGGUGGUACAUGCCUGUAAUCCAAGCUAUUUAGGAGGCUGAGGAAGGAGGAUCGAAAGCUUGAGGCCAGCCUCAGCAACUUAGCAAGAUCCUAUCUCAA
rnacentral:sRNA from 1 species